AAAAAAUAUGGGUACAAUACAAAUAAAACUUAAAAAAAAUAUGGGCACAAAAAGAAAUUAAUAUAUGGGUACAAAUUAAAACUGAAAGGAAAAUUGGUACAAAUUAAAAAAGGGUUGCAAAUUAAAAUGGGUACAAACUAAAAAUAAAAAUAUAUGAUAAAAAAUUUAGCCAUAAAUAUAAAUAUACUAAUUGUAACAUUUUUAAUAUUAAAUGAAUAUAUUUAGAAAUAAAAAAUAUUAUAUUAUUGAAAUAAUUA
rnacentral:lncRNA from 1 species